GAGCCUGACAGCCUGCGGGAAAAAGCUGUUACAGAGUCUGGCGGAGCUAGUGUGUAUACUAUGAUAUCUUUUUCCAGAUGGUAGGAGGGCAGAGAGUUUAUGGGAGGGGUCAUCUACUAUACUGGAGGCCCUGUGUAAGCAGCGUUUGUGAUAGGCAUCAGAAAUGGAAGGGAGGGAGGCUCCAAUUAUGUUUUCAGCUGUUUGCACAAUUUGUUGCAGGGUCUUGUGGUCUGAAGCGUUGCAGUUCCCAAACCAAAUAAUAAUAUAGCUGAUCAUGGUGCUCUUAAUGGUGUUUCUGUAGACGUGGUAAGAAUGGGCAGGGGAAGGUUUGCCCUCCUCAGUCCCUGCAGGAAAUAGAGACGCUGCUGUGCUUUCUUUGUCUAGGAAGGUGGUAUUAAGGGACUAAGUGAAGUCAUCUGUAAUGUAUACACAAAUAAACUUAAUGCUUCUAACUGUCUCUACAGGGGAUCCGUUGAUGUGCAGUGGGGAGUGAUCAGCACGGGCCCUCCUGAAAUCAAUGAUUAUCUCUAUCUUUGUGAUAUUUACAUUAAGAGAUAUGUUGUUGUUUGUGCACCAGUCCACAAGUUGCUCCACCUCCUCUCUGUAUGGUGACUCAUCAUUGCUGCUAAUGAGGCCCACCACUGUCGUCAUUGACAAACAUGAUGAUGUAAUUUGAACUGUGCUUGGCAGAACAGUCAUGAGUCAUCAAUGUGAACAGCAGUGGGCUGAGCACACAGUGCUCAUUGUGAUGGUGCUGGAGAUGUUAUUACAAAUCCGGACUGUCUGAGGUCUCUCGGUCAAUAAGUCCAGAAUCCAGUUACAGAGAGAGUUGUUGAGGUUCAGCAAGCUUAAUUUUUCUAUCACCUUCUGGGGGAUGAUUGUAUUAAAUGCUGAACUGAAGUCAAUGAAAAGCAUUCUUACAUAAGAGUCGUUCUUAUCAAGGUGGGGACAGGGCCAGGUGAAGGGCAAGAGAUACGGCAUCAUCAGUAGACCGGUUGAGGCAGUAUGCAAACUGAAGGGGAUCCAGAGAGGUAGGGAGUCUGGACUUUAUGUGGCUCAUGACUGGCCUCUCAUGAAACACUUCAUGAUAAUUGGUGUGAGUGCCAUAGGGCAGUAAUCAUUGAGGCAGGACAUUGUUGACUUCUUCGGGACUGGUAUAAUAUUGGUGGAUUUGAAGCAUAUGAGGAUGACCACCUGGCAUGAGGAGAUAUUAAAGAUAUCUGUGAGGACGUCAGCCAGCUGUUCUGCACAUUCCUUGAGCACACGACAAGGAUCUAUGAGAAGAAUGGUACAGAACAUCACAUUCUUGUUUCCUAAGAUGUCAGAGUACCCACUGUAAAGAAAACAACAACCUGAUAACCUUGGCCAUGAGGGAGCAGGAGCAAAGCAGGAUACACC